GAAGGAUUAUUGAAAGAAUAGAAAUAAAUCAGUAGAAUUGAGCCCUGUCACUUUCAUAUUGUUUCACUUUAUGUAUUAAAUCCAAUGAAUAUUGAUAUGGCUUUGUACGAAGCCAAUAAAAGGUGUUGAGUAGAAACCUUAUUUUCAUAAUCUGUGUGAGUAUAAUCACCAUUGGUAAGCAAAUGAAAUUAUCUGCUGAUAAUAAUCUCAGUUAAAAACAGAACAGCAGUUGGGCUUUGAAAGAAAACAUUAAUAUUCGGUUAUCUGAAAUUUCAUAACAACAGUUGCAGUUGAGUCAACAGUAGAAUGAAUUGCAAGAUGUUGGACGAUCAAAAUUAAAUUGUCUCCAAUUGAAGAACCGAACAAAACUCUUUUGCUGUACAAGGGAGCUUAAGAUAUCGAGAUGGAGAAAGAAACGUCUGAAACUACAUCGAUGCAAUACCUCUUAAAUAUCAUCAAAGAAACGCAAUUGCGCUCCAUACCUUUGAGGAUUGGAUACGGAACAAACGUGUGCAUCCGACAGAGCAAAUCGUAUCUUAUCUUCUUUAAGAUAUCCCCUCUUAAGUUUGCUUUCGUUGAACAUUCUGUUAUCCUGGGGAUGCACAUGGUAAAACAAAACUGUUAUUCUUCGAAAAUUCUUUCAUUAAACUAAAGUUUGCUCCUUUAUAAUCAUGUUAUCUUUUAUUGUAAAUCGAUUUAUUUUUUAUUAUUAAA